GACGAACGCUGGCGGCGUGCUUAACACAUGCAAGUCGAACGGAAAGGCCCUGCUUUUGUGGGGUGCUCGAGUGGCGAACGGGUGAGUAACACGUGAGUAACCUGCCCUUGACUUUGGGAUAACUUCAGGAAACUGGGGCUAAUACCGGAUAGUAGCUCCUUCUGCAUGGUGGGGGUUGGAAAGUUUCGGCGGUUGGGGAUGGACUCGCGGCUUAUCAGCUUGUUGGUUGGGUAGUGGCUUACCAAGGCUUUUAAGGGUAGCCGGCCGGGGGGGGGGACCGGCAAAAUGGGGAGUGGAGAACGGCCCCAAGCCCACAGGGGGGGGAAGGGGGGGAAAUUUUAAAAAGGGGGCGAGACCUAAUGAGAGAACCCCCGGGGGGGGGGGAGGGGCUUUGGGUUUUAAACCCUUUUUCCCUGGGAGAAAGGGUGUGGGAGGGUAAUGGGGAAAAAAGGAAGGGCAAACUACGUG
rnacentral:rRNA from 1 species